UACGUAGGUGGCAAGCGUUGUCCGGAUUUACUGGGCGUAAAGAGCGCGCAGGCGGUCGUUCAAGUCGCGUGUGAAAGCCCCCGGCUCAACUGGGGAGGGUCACGCGAUACUGAUCGACUCGAAGGCAGGAGAGGGAAGUGGAAUUCCCGGUGUAGUGGUGAAAUGCGUAGAUAUCGGGAGGAACACCAGUGGCGAAGGCGACUUCCUGGCCUGUUCUUGACGCUGAGGUGCGAAAGCCAGGGGAGCGAACGGG
rnacentral:rRNA from 1 species